rnacentral:rRNA from 1 species
UACGAAGGGUGCAAGCGUUACUCGGAAUCACUGGGCGUAAAGCGCACGUAGGCGGCUUUCUAAGUCAGGGGUGAAAUCCUGGAGCUCAACUCCAGAACUGCCUUUGAUACUGGAGAGCUUGAGUCCGGGAGAGGUGAGUGGAACUCCGAGUGUAGAGGUGAAAUUCGUAGAUAUUCGGAAGAACACCAGUGGCGAAGGCGGCUCACUGGCCCGGUACUGACGCUGAUGUGCGAAAGCGUGGGGAGCAAACAGG